UCCAAAUGCUGGUUCAUCAUCAAAAAACAAACUAAGAGUUACAACUCAAAUAUCUCGUAACAGAUAAGUCAGGAAGGCCAGGGAGAGACUCCGGGGGUUUGGAGAAAGCUCCAUGUACAAGGCCACACACUGUUUGACAGCAAUUCAAAUUAUGUUGCCAUUCUGAAGAAUUAAAUGUUUCUUAUGACCUUAGACUACGACAGCCAGAUAUUUCAAGAGGAAUUAUGUCAGUGUGUACGGCAAAUCCAGAAUAAAGAUGUUCUGUUACCUCUCUAGGAGACUGAGAAAAUGACUGGGGGGUUAGCACAGGUUAACUUUCAAUAUGGCACAGAGUGAGAGCAAUAAAGCUAACUCCGGGCAACAAGCAGCAAGCAGCUUUUCCAAAAGCCAUCAAUGUUCUGUCAGUGUACACAGCAAUGUGCAAGCCUCUGAGUACGAAUCACAAACUGGAGAUUACUAGAAAACAAGACCAUUUUAGCUCCUAACAUAUGAAGUGAGUUUUGAGCAUACUACUCAGGAUUGCGAUGUCUCACUAUCUGGCAUCCCAGGGACAGAGGCUCAGCCACAUAAGCGUGUUCUCCAGAUAAAGGAGGCUUUCGUGUUAAUAUAAAUAACAAAACUUAAACAUUGUUUACAAAGACCACUCUGGGAAAAACGUCAGCCUCAAUCCAUCCCACCCC
rnacentral:lncRNA from 1 species